CCCGUGUGCGGGUCCCCGGGGAGCGGCCGGGCUGGAGCAGUCGCUGCUGGGGGAGCAGGGAGGGCCGGGCCGCUGCGCACGAGCCGGAGAGGAGACUCGGUCCCCAGGCAGCCCUGCCCGGCUGGCGGCAGAGGGCCGGUGCGUUAGCAGCUCUGCGGUGCCCCUGCUCGGCUACCCUGGAGCCCGGCGCUGCGUUGCCUGGAAGAGACCCCGGGUGAAGCGCCCGCCCAGCGGGACUGGGCAGCGCCCGCUCGCCUUCUGGAGCCACCAGCACGCUUGAGCGGGGCGCGCCGCCGCGUCUCUGCACAAGCGGGCGGGUGUCGGUCGGUGGAGCCGGUGUAAACCUCACAGCCCCCAGCCUGGGCCACACAGGUACUCCAGUCUUGAACCAAGACCCUACUGGGCUAGGUACUGAACCAACCCUGCCGGAAGGAGCUUACAAUCCAAAUACAAGGCAGCAGAGGAUGGCUGCAUAAAGAUGAACUGCAAGAAGAAAUACAAAGAAUCAAUAUUUCAGCCAGUGGCCUCAAUAUCAAGCAAGGCUAAAAGAUGCUUUGGUUUCAGUAUGCAGCAAAGCAGCUAGAAAAAUAUUCUUCUAGUCCACUGUGGAAACAACUGUGUGCAGCCACUACAAAUAGACCAGUGUUAACUUUGUUCACCAAGGACAACAGUGACAUUAUCACGUCACUCUGCGUCCUGCAGAUCCUCCUUCCUCAGUCACCUGACCUCCUCUCUGGCUAACCCCAUUAGCUCAGAAUGCGGCCUGUACCGCUGCAGCACUUCUCUGCCAGCCGAAGGGGACCAAGAGAACGCGGCCUGCAUUGCUCUGGCUCUUCUCUGUCAGCUGGAGAAUCCAUGCCCGCUGUGUGAUGAAGCAAAAGAAGUGCUUAAGCCAUAUAAAAACAGGUUUAUUUUGCAGGAAGUGGAUAUCACCCUUCCAGAGAACGCAGUGUGGCAUGACAGAUACAAGUAUGACAUACCAGUCUUCCACUUAAAUGGGCAAUUCCUAAUGAAACAUCGGGUAGAUGUUAAAAAAUUUGAGAACCAACUUGUGAAGCUAGAGUUUCAAAAUGAUAAUCAAUGAAGAAGAUGCAGCUUUAGAUUGAAGGGAUUUUUAACAAAUGGCUUGAAACGGUUGUAAAAAUUAUCAAACCACAUUUUCUUUGGAAUGUAAUGUAUAUAUUUAACAUUCAGUGUUUAGCUAUUUGAUUUAUAUUCCAUUUUGUAGUAAUGAUGAAGCCCGUCUGACUGAAUAGGAACUCUUCAUCUUCAUCUGCUAUCCUUGAUGGUUUUGUUUUUCAAUGAGGGAGUAAGUGCUAUUUCACAGCAGCAGAUAAAAUGAAAUGCAUUUUCAGAUCAUUUAUACACCCUGCACUGAUAAUAAAGGGAUGUUUAAGUUA